AUUGAACGCUGGCGGCAGGCUUAACACAUGCAUGUCGAGCGAGCGGCGGACGGGUGAGUAAUGUCUGGGAAACUGCCUGAUGGAGGGGGAUAACUACUGGAAACGGUAGCUAAUACCGCAUACCAUCAGAUGUGCCCAGAUGGGAUUAGCUCGUAGGUGGGGUAAUGGCUCACCUAGGCGACGAUCCCUAGCUGGUCUGAGAGGAUGACCAGCAACACUGGAACGGAGACACGGUCCAGACUGCUAGGGGAGGAAGGAGUGGGGAAUAUGGCACAAUGGGCGAAAGACUGAUGCAGCAAUGCCGCGUGUGUGAAGAAGGCCUUCGGGUUGUAAAGCACUGUCAGCGAGGAGGCGUUACUCGCAGAAGAAGCACCGGCUAACUCCGUGCCAGCAGCCGCGGUAAUAC
rnacentral:rRNA from 1 species